GUGAGGAAUAUUGGACAAUGGGCGCAAGCCUGAUCCAGCCAUGCCGCGUGCAGGAAGACGCAUCUAUGGUGUGUAAACUGCUUUUGUACGGGAAGAAACACUGCCUCGUGAGGGAGCUUGACGGUACCGUAAGAAUAAGGAUCGGCUAACUCCGUGCCAGCAGCCGCGGUAAUACGGAGGAUCCAAGCGUUAUCCGGAAUCAUUGGGUUUAAAGGGUCCGUAGGCGGUUUAAUAAGUCAGUGGUGAAAGCCCAUCGCUCAACGAUGGAACGGCCAUUGAUACUGUUAGACUUGAAUUACAAGGAAGUAACUAGAAUAUGUAGUGUAGCGGUGAAAUGCUUAGAUAUUACAUGGAAUACCAAUUGCGAAGGCAGGUUACUACUUGUGGAUUGACGCUGAUGGACGAAAGCGUGGGGAGCGAACAGGAUUAGAAACCCCUGUAGUCC
rnacentral:rRNA from 1 species